UCAUUACAAGUUUUUUAUCAUUAUCUAAUACAGGGAAAAUGAAAUGAUUAAUUUUAACCAUAUUUUAUGCUUAUGUAGAUAUAUUCCUGUGUUUUCAGUUUCCUGAGUUCCAAACAUGUUUUUGUAAAACUUUUCUGUGUUUUUGAUUCCUCUGUUUUGCACAUGCAUUCCUUUCCUAUCCUUGUGUUUUUUUUUUCUAUUCCUGUGUUUUGAAUUCCUGUGUUCCAAUCCGUUUGUCGAGUGUUUACUAGUCUGACAUCCUGUUCGCAAAUUGCAAGUCAGGGUGGGCGUCGGGUUAGACCGAACCGAUCGGUUCGGUUCCUUGGGUUUUUAAGAAAUUCGGUUCCUGGAAAAAAGCGACCGAUCGGUUCCUUCUGGAUCUGCUAACCGAAAAUUCGGUUACUCUAAAUUUCGGUUCGGUUCUCGGUUUUAACCGAACAAAACUGAAACAUGUAAAAAAUGAUAGAAGAAAGGGCGCCGAUGUUCCUCGAUAGAGGUCGCUGCAGGCGCGCUGCUUCCUAGUCUGAUGGCCGCCGAUGCGCCAUGCCAGCUGCUGUAGCUUGUAGGGAGAUGGAGGUGGGGGACGGGGAUGAGUUGAUGGAGGCGAGCUGAGGACGGGAUUGAGGCCAGAGAGGAGUUGGUGUGGCGCCGCCGGCCACUGGGAGAUCAGGAGACGAGAGGUCGAUGGAGUAGAGAUCGGGAGAAGAGGAGGGAAAUCGUGAGAGAGGGAAGGGUCGGGCUGGUUGAGCUAGGGUUUGGGACUUGGGAGAACGACACGAGGAGAGGAUCAGGACUCGGGAGGGAGACAUGGAGUUGGCGUACGUCUCGUUGUCGGGCAGGGAAUCGGGAGGCUGGGCUGGAUUGGAUAAUAGCUGUGGCUUGAUGGGCUGGGCUGAAUUUUAAUGGGCCUAUUAAUUAAUAUUGUUCGGUCAGUUCGGGUAAUUUCGGUUAACCGAGGCCCGUGACCGAACUGACCGAAAAUAGAUUGGUUCUUUGGAAUUCAAAACCGAGUUUCUAAUCGGUUUUUCGGUUUCGGAUCCAUCGGUUUCUGUUUCCGGUUCUUCGGGUCUCGGUCUCAGUUUCUCGGUUUUUAUACCCACCCUGAAUUGCAAGUGCUGAACGGGCUGGAGCUUGUCCGAACCGAACGAACAUCCGACCGACCCUUGGAUGGCAUCUGGUGCGGAGCUCAGCGUACAAUUCCUCUGUCGCGACAGUUUUAUUUUAGAUCAAGUUUUUUUUUUCCAGAAUCACACGCAACUUUAUUCAAACUCGGAAACCAUUACGGAUACCGUGCUUCGGAUCUUAGACGGAAAACUACAAAGUAACUCUUAUGACACGGAUACAGUGCUUCACAUGUAACAUAUUCUCAAUUGUAUCAACCUUUGCAACACAAAAUAUUCUCCAAGUUUCAGUGAAAAGGAGAACAAUUAGAAUGGACCGGCAACAUCGCCACUCGUAGCCAUGCACGAACUUGACUAUCUUUAGAUAUUUCAAAAAAAAAAACCUUUAGUCGCCCCUCUAAAACGAUGAGAAGCCGUAAGCGUUGAAUGUAGUUGGGCCGGUAUUGAUACCCUAAAGAUACAUGUGGUCAAAUCACAAGAUUUUCGUGAGAACACCAG
rnacentral:lncRNA from 1 species